rnacentral:rRNA from 1 species
CCUACGGGAGGCAGCAGUGAGGAAUAUUGGUCAAUGGGCGCGAGCCUGAACCAGCCAAGUCGCGUGAUGGAAGACGGUCCUAUGGAUUGUAAACCUCUUUUGUCGGGGAGCAAAAGACGCCACGCGUGGCGUUCCGAGAGUACCCGAAGAAAAAGCAUCGGCUAACUCCGUGCCAGCAGCCGCGGUAAUACGGAGGAUGCGAGCGUUAUCCGGAUUUAUUGGGUUUAAAGGGUGCGCAGGCGGAAGAUCAAGUCAGCGGUAAAAUUGAGAGGCUCAACCUCUUAGAGCCGUUGAAACUGGUUGUCUUGAGUGAGCGAGAGGUAUGCGGAAUGCGCGGUGUAGCGGUGAAAUGCAUAGAUAUCACGCAGAACUCCGAGUGCGAAGGCAGCAUACCGGCGCUCAACUGACGCUCAUGCACGAAAGUGUGGGUAUCGAACAGGAUUAGAUACCCGAGUAGUC